rnacentral:misc_RNA from 1 species
CAGAGUUAUCCAACUCCCAAACCCCUGUGAACAUACUCUUAUGUUGCCUCGGCGCAAGCUACCCCGGACCCAGCCGUACGGGACGGCCCGCCGGCAGGAAAACCCUAAAACUCUGUUAUUUAGUGACUUAUCUGAGGUAUAUACAAUAAGUCA